AGCUACAGGCUUAACACAUGCAAGUCGAGGGGCAGCAUGGUCUUAGCUUGCUAAGGCCGAUGGCGACCGGCGCACGGGUGAGUAACACGUAUCCAACCUGCCGUCUACUCUUGGACAGCCUUCUGAAAGGAAGAUUAAUACAAGAUGGCAUCAUGAGUCCGCAUGUUCACAUGAUUAAAGGUAUUCCGGUAGACGAUGGGGAUGCGUUUCAUUAGAUAGUAGGCGGGGUAACGGCCCACCUAGUCUUCGAUGGAUAGGGGUUCUGAGAGGAAGGUCCCCCACAUUGGAACUGAGACACGGUCCAAACUCCUACGGGAGGCAGCAGUGAGGAAUAUUGGUCAAUGGGCGAGAGCCUGAACCAGCCAAGUAGCGUGAAGGAUGACUGCCCUAUGGGUUGUAAACUUCUUUUAUAAAGGAAUAAAGUCGGGUAUGGAUACCCGUUUGCAUGUACUUUAUGAAUAAGGAUCGGCUAACUCCGUGCCAGCAGCCGCGGUAAUACGGAGGAUCCGAGCGUUAUCCGGAUUUAUUGGGUUUAAAGGGAGCGUAGAUGGAUGUUUAAGUCAGUUGUGAAAGUUUGCGGCUCAACCGUAAAAUUGCAGUUGAUACUGGAUAUCUUGAGUGCAGUUGAGGCAGGCGGAAUUCGUGGUGUAGCGGUGAAAUGCUUAGAUAUCACGAAGAACUCCGAUUGCGAAGGCAGCCUGCUAAGCUGCAACUGACAUUGAGGCUCGAAAGUGUGGGUAUCAAACAGGAUUAGAUACCCUGGUAGUCCACACGGUAAACGAUGAAUACUCGCUGUUUGCGAUAUACAGCAAGCGGCCAAGCGAAAGCGUUAAGUAUUCCACCUGGGGAGUACGCCGGCAACGGUGAAACUCAAAGGAAUUGACGGGGGCCCGCACAAGCGGAGGAACAUGUGGUUUAAUUCGAUGAUACGCGAGGAACCUUACCCGGGCUUAAAUUGCAGAUGAAUUACGGUGAAAGCCGUAAGCCGCAAGGCAUCUGUGAAGGUGCUGCAUGGUUGUCGUCAGCUCGUGCCGUGAGGUGUCGGCUUAAGUGCCAUAACGAGCGCAACCCUUGUUGUCAGUUACUAACAGGUUCCGCUGAGGACCCUGACAAGACUGCCAUCGUAAGAUGUGAGGAAGGUGGGGAUGACGUCAAAUCAGCACGGCCCUUACGUCCGGGGCUACACACGUGUUACAAUGGGGGGUACAGAGGGCCGCUACCACGCGAGUGGAUGCCAAUCUCCAAAACCUCUCUCAGUUCGGACUGGAGUCUGCAACCCGACUCCACGAAGCUGGAUUCGCUAGUAAUCGCGCAUCAGCCACGGCGCGGUGAAUACGUUCCCGGGCCUUGUACACACCGCCCGUCAAGCCAUGGGAGCCGGGGGUACCUGAAGUGCGUAACCGCGAGGAGCGCCCUAGGGUAAAACUGGUGACUGGGGCUAAGUCAUA
rnacentral:rRNA from 1 species